CCUACGGGUGGCAGCAGUGAGGAAUAUUGGUCAAUGGACGCGAGCCUGAACCAGCCAAGUCGCGUGAAGGAUGACGGCUCUCUGGGUUGUAAACUUCUUUUAUAUGGGCAUAAAGUGAGGGACGUGUUGCUUUUUGUAUGUACCAUAUGAAUAAGCAUCGGCUAACUCCGUGCCAGCAGCCGCGGUAAUACGGAGGAUCCGAGCGUUAUCCGGAUUUAUUGGGUUUAAAGGGUGCGUAGGUGGUUAAUUAAGUCAGAGGUGAAAGUUUGGGGCUCAACCAUAAAAUUGCCGUUGAAACUGGUUGACUUGAGUACAGUAGAGGUAGGCGGAAUGCGUGGUGUAGCGGUGAAAUGCAGAGAUAUCAUGAAGAACUCCGAUUGCGAAGGCAGCUUACUAAACUAUAACUGACACUGAGGCACGAAAGCGUGGGGAUCAAACAGGAUUAGAUACCCGUGUAGUC
rnacentral:rRNA from 1 species